ACAAGGGAGCCCAGCCAGCAGCCCAGCCAGCAGCCCAGCCUGCCUCCUGCAGCCUGCAGCCUGCAGCCUAAUGUCUGGGCAAAGGCUUCAGCAGACAAACUGUUCAGUCAUUGGCUGCACAGCCAGACACAAAUUUACAUAUGUAAAUUUGUGUCAAUUAGUUUUGAGGGCAAUGUCCGACUAGAGUCAGAAAAACCGGAAGGUGACCUGAGGAAGCUCAGGUGUUCCUGGACUCAUCAGAGGACAGAGACAGCUGCAGCAUCAGGACAGUCUGGGUAUCCAAAGGAAGACUGAUGAAGAUGAACACUGACUGCAGAGCUCCAUUACCAGCUCACACUUCAAUAUACUAGAAACCUAAGAUACCUUGAUGAAGGACACGAUCUGCACACUUUCCAAAAAAGUUAGAGCUUUGUUACUUACAACAUGUGUCACUAGAAUAUGAAUGAAACAUAAAUAAAGUGUUUUACUUUUAAGAA